rnacentral:lncRNA from 1 species
GACUCAUCUCUGGGAUGACCUAACCUCCCCAACCUGGCAGAGCAGCUGUCCGGACUCAGCCCUCAUACCGUGACUGUGGACGUCUAGUGUGCCCCCUUCUGAUUAUAAACUGGCUCUGCUCCUGACUAUGGAAGGAAGAGAAGGAGGACGGCUCCUAGACACAGCUGGCAGGCUUCGUGGUUAAAGUAGAAUCUAUUCACUUGCAUUCUUUCGUAUUCGUGAAGUUGGUAAGGCAUCAUCAGCCUGGUGGGAUUUCACUCCACAUCAGAUUUCUACUUCUACUUUCCUUUCUUCUGUUUUGCUGUCUCUGCACAGCCAGCACAAUGCAUUUUGGCAGCAACUCCCAAACAAAUAAGGCUUUCCUGUGUGCACAGGGAGGAACGGUUACUAGUCAGUGUGGGCCAACUGGGACCAUACGCAUGUGGUUAAGGAUAACCAGUCAGUGAUGCCUUUAGUGAGUAAUCACUUUGAACUUUAAGGUGGGACUGUGUAAAGGCCCACAAGCAGAAGUUCAACUGGUAGAGACAGCCCAGUCAUUAGGGGUGUUGCUGAUAAUUCAGAGAAUUAAGGUAACUCUAGUGCGAAGUGAAGUAGUUUUCCUUGGCCUUUAGAAUGUAGCUGUAAUCCCGAGUGUCUCAACCUCAGCACUGUUGACAUUUGGGACUAGAUUCUUGUUGUUGUUGUUGUUGCUGUGGAGCUGUCCUGUGCAUUGCAGGGUGUUUAGCAGUACCCUGGCCUCUGUGACUAUAUGCCAGUGGCAUUCCCUCAGGCAUGAUAAUGAGCAAUGUCUCCAGCCCUCCAAGAACAAAGGCACUUCCUGCCACUAUCCUGUGUGCAGUGAGGCCACAGGGAUGAGAUCUUGUAGGGAUGAGAUUUCUUUCUCUAUGUCACCGUUCCCCUCUCUCUUUCUCUCACUUGACAACCAGUUAAGUCUGCACUAAUAUAGAUAGUAUCAGCCCCUGCAGAAGUCUCGGGCCACGCUGUCAAACAAGAGCAAAUUAAGAGCAAGAAGUUAAGAUGAAGCACUAAUCUAGCCAAAGUGUGACUGAAAGUAAAAGAAAGCUAGAACCUGAUGGAAUUGUGGAAAGAAGAAAAAAGGUGGAGGCUGUAACUACUGAUGCAAAAGCCUGAAACCUUUUCUCUGCUUCUCCAGAGCCGUCCUGGAAGACAUGGGUGUCCAGUGGGCUGCUUGAAGCCAUGCAGCGCAGCAGGACUGUGGGGAUGGGCCCUUCGAUGACCUCGCCCUUUGAAAGACCACCAAUUUCCAGCCCUCCGAGCAGUAUUCUGAUUAUGAACUUGUUUUCCUUCUUCUAUUUAAGAGGUUUGGGGACCUUAGAUCUCAGAGCACAGGUAUCUGGAGAGUGUGGAGUCAGAAAAACAGCAAGAGGAAUGAAUAUCCAGGUAGGUCAGCCGGCCAGAGACAGGGUGGAGAGGCUGGGAGGAGGUGAAUGGGGAGACACUAGCAGGCAUGUGGUUGCGAGUGAAUAGAUUCUGUGGAUGUGGGUUCCCAGCAGGGUUGGCAGAGACGUGGUGCGGUCAGGCAGAUUAUGGAGCAGCGUAUCAGGCAAAGAGGGAGAUAAGACAGAGCCUUGUUUCCCAAAGAUUGAGGGAAGGUGACACUGUGGUCAGCUUACGUCUACUCCUGUGUAUUGUCAGUAUACCUCAUUUCCAAAAUUGUAAGCUUCAUGAGCACAAGGACAAGUUCCCAUCAGUCUCAGUAGUCAGCACCUACUUUGUGGGGAAGCAGUCAAACGUUUGCUAAUUAAGGAGAGAAAACACAACUGGGACAUUGUUGCAUUUAUCCAGCUGUGAGGUUCACAGAGAAGUCACCCUGUCUAUCCAGCCUGCCUUUCCUAGAGCAAUGCAAUUUCCAUGUGGGAUGGCUGCGAUCUAGGAGUGACCCAAGCCCCAUUGGGCUUUGUUUUUGAAGCUGAUAUGAUAUACACUGUGACAGAGACAAAGACAGAAAGACACACGGACAGAGCGAGAGAUUUCUCGUGGGGCCCUCACGUAUUGCUGUACCCUUUCUCUUCCUCCUGAUUUGCGGCCACAGCUGUGUUUGGCUGUGCCGGGUACUUUCUGUCAUUCUGCCUUUGGCAGCAUGUUGGUCUUCGAGCUUGGGUGAGGGAACCAUUCCUGGUUUCUGAACACCAUCUUGCAGGUUGGCUGGGAUUCUGUUUCUUGUCUGGAAUGGUUUGAUUCCACCUGCACACUUGCCUGCCUCUGCCAAGGGAGGCUCUACCUAAGACAGCAGACAGGUCCUUUAAAACUUUCCAUGGUGAAAAAAAAAAA